rnacentral:lncRNA from 1 species
CAUCUAUUUUUUUUUAAUUUUAUAUCUAAAAAUUAUAAAAAUCUCCUUCCACCUAUAUCUUUAAAUAAAGAUCAAUAUCUCUAUUCUUAAAUAUCUCUCUCCACAUCGUACCUUUUGUAGGAGCCCAUAUGAAAGAUAAGAAUAUCUAUCUUUUAGAUUUUUUUUAACUAUCUUAUUCCUACUUUCUUCCAUCCUUCUAACACACGAGAAGAAGAGUCAGCU